rnacentral:rRNA from 1 species
CCUACGUGUGGCAGCAGUGGGGAAUAUUGGACAAUGGGCGAAAGCCUGAUCCAGCCAUGCCGCGUGUGUGAAGAAGGCCUUCGGGGUGUAAAGCACUUUCAGUGGGGAAGAAAGCCUUGGGGCUAAUACCCUCGAGGAAGGACAUCACCCACAGAAGAAGCACCGGCUAACUCCGUGCCAGCAGCCGCGGUAAUACGGAGGGUGCGAGCGUUAAUCGGAAUUACUGGGCGUAAAGCGCGCGUAGGCGGUCUGAUAAGCCGGUUGUGAAAGCCCCGGGCUCAACAUGGGAACGGCAUCCGGAACUGUCAGGCUAGAGUGCAGGAGAGGAAGGUAGAAUUCCCGGUGUAGCGGUGAAAUGCGUAGAGAUCGGGAGGAAUACCAGUGGCGAAGGCGGCCUUCUGGACUGACACUGACGCUGAGGUGCGAAAGCGUGGGUAGCAAACAGGAUUAGAUACCCGAGUAGUC